rnacentral:rRNA from 1 species
AUUGAACGCUGGCGGCAUGCUUUACACAUGCAAGUCGAACGGUAACAGGGAGCUUGCUCCGCUGACGAGUGGCGAACGGGUGAGUAAUAUAUCGGAACGUACCCAAGAGUGGGGGAUAACGUAGCGAAAGUUACGCUAAUACCGCAUACGAUCUAAGGAUGAAAGCAGGGGAUCUUCGGACCUUGUGCUCCUGGAGCGGCCGAUAUCUGAUUAGCUAGUUGGUGAGGUAAAGGCUCACCAAGGCGACGAUCAGUAGCUGGUCUGAGAGGACGACCAGCCACACUGGAACUGGGACACGGUCUAGACUCCUACGGGAGGCAGCAGUGGGGAAUUUUGGACAAUGGGCGCAAGCCUGAUCCAGCAAUGCCGCGUGAGUGAAGAAGGCCUUCGGGUUGUAAAGCUCUUUUGUCAGGGAAGAAACGGGAGUGGCUAAUAUCCAUUCCUAAUGACGGUACCUGAAGAAUAAGCACCGGCUAACUACGUGCCAGCAGCCGCCGUAACAC